rnacentral:misc_RNA from 1 species
GAUGAAGAACGUAGCGAAAUGCGAUAAGUAAUGUGAAUUGCAGAAUUCAGUGAAUCAUCGAAUCUUUGAACGCACCUUGCGCUCUUUGGUAUUCCGAAGAGCAUGCCUGUUUGAGUGUCAUGAAAAUAUCAACCUUGACUUGGGUUUUGUGCUCUAGUCUCGGCUUGGAAUUGGGUGCUUGCCGCUUUUACGAGCGGCUCACCUUAAAUGUAUUAGCUGGAUCUGUCUUUGAGACUUGGUUUGACUUGGCGUAAUAAGUAUUUCGCUAAGGACAUUCUUCGGAGUGGCCUCGUUUCUAGGACGCUUGUCCGCUUUCCAAUACAAGUUCCACCUCGUGGACAUGACUUUUUAUUAUCUGGCCUCAAAUCGGGUAGGACUACCCGCUGAACUUAAGCAUAUCAAUAAGCGGAGGA